rnacentral:rRNA from 1 species
CACGUAGGGCGCAAGCGUUGUCCGGAAUUAUUGGGCGUAAAGGGUGCGUAGGCGGCUUGGUGGGUCUGGUGUGAAAGCCCCGGGCUCAGCCCGGGAAGGGCACUAGAAACUGCCGAGCUGGAGUGCCGGAGGGGAGAGUGGAAUUCCUGGUGUAGCGGUGAAAUGCGCAGAUAUCAGGAAGAACACCUAUGGCGAAGGCAGCUCUCUGGGACGGUACUGACGCUGAGGAGCGAAAGCGUGGGGAGCGAACAGG